rnacentral:tRNA from 1 species
GGGGUUGUAGUUUAAACAUAUAACAUUUAAUUUGCAAUUAAAAAAUACUAUUAACCAUUUAUAGUCUACCUCA